UAAGUAGAUAGUGAAAUCUGGUGGCUCAACCAUUCAGACUAUUAUCUAAACUGCUCCGCUCGAGAGCGUUAGGGGUAGCUGGAAUUUCUAGUGUAGGAGUGAAAUCCGUAGAUAUUAGAAAGAACACCGAUAGCGUAGGCAGGCUACUGGGACGUUUCUGACACUAAGGCACGAAAGCGUGGGGAGCAAACGGGAUUAGAUACCCGGGUAGUCCACGCCGUAAACGAUGGAUACUA
rnacentral:rRNA from 1 species